rnacentral:misc_RNA from 1 species
UCGAGUUUCAAACCCUUGUACCGAAAAAAGUCUGACGAAAAAAAGCGGGAAGAAAAUCCUUCAGGUAUUUUUUUCCACAAGAAAAAACAAUAAGAAACGAAAAGAGAGCUACCUGCACAGGUGCGGGAGCUGAAGACAUGGGAUCGUCCGUGAGGAGCUACUUGAUCACCUUGCUGCUGUACGUUUCUGUUGUCAACGAGAUCAGCUUACCAGCGGUGACAUGUCAGGACGAAGAGGGGGACCGAUGCUUGCCACGUAAAACUUUCUUCGCUCUUCUGCGUCUUCCGGAAGUCAGUCCGAAUCUGGCGGCUUAUUCCCGAACGGCUCGCAUAAUUCAGGACGCUAAAAACCGCAACGAGAUCGUUAAUCUGAAGACGUUGAGCUCCGAGGACAACGAAGACGCCGAGAUUUGCCUCCCCGUCGGGGUUUACCUCGAUCUUUUCAGCGAUCCGGCGCUCCGUGGACACCUCACGGCGAUCGGAAGGGCCCUGAAAAUGUUGGAGGAUCCGACGACCCGCACUUACCUCACCAACGAGGACCUCGAGGCCGAGGCUGAUGAGGAAUUAAAUUCGGAAAAGCGUAGCAUAGCGACUCUUGCUAAAAACGGCGAUCUUCCGAUAUCGAUUCAAGACAAAGGCGACGAGGAAGAAGAGGAGGAAAAGAGGAGCCUCACCACUCUCGUGCAAGAUGGUUCUCUCAGCAGAGACGACCUCGAGGCGUUACUGGGCUACGUCGAAAUGGAAAAGAGGAACAUCGCCGCGUUGGCCAGGGAUUACGCGCUUCCGAACGGUAAACGUAACGUCGCCAGUCUUGCCAGGGACUUCGCUCUUCCGACGACAAAUUCUGCCGGGGGUAAAAGAAACGUAGCGGCUUUGGCUCGUGAUUUCGCUCUUCCUUCGGGAAAGAGGAACGUCGCCAGCCUGGCCAGGGACUUUGCCCUCCCUCCUUCGGGAAAGAGGAACAUAGCCGCCCUUGCGAGGGACUACGCCCUCCCCUCGGGGAAGAGGAACAUCGCCGCUCUCGCGAGGGACUACAGUCUGCCCUACGGAAAACGCUAUUUGGACAUUUUUUCACGAGGAAGCGCGCCUCGGUUCCAACCUUACCCGGGCGACAAAAGGAAUCUCGCCGCUCUCGUGAGGAACGGUGAUCUCCCCAUGAUUAAUUACAAGCGCAACGUCGCGGCUUUAGCUAGAGAAUGGACUCUGCCAACGCAGAAUAGAUACGGAAGGUCACUCGAUACCAUCGAGGCGAAGGCGGAACUGGGUAACCGCGAAGGUAGACAGCGGGAAACGUCGAUCGAAGGGGACGCGUUCGGAUAUCACGACAAAUCUCGGAAAAUCAAAGGUGAGGAUGCCAACGAGAGGAAACUAGAGGCUCUGGCAGGUUCCAAUAGAUCGGCAUCGAAACAUGGAGAUUCCAAGGAUUCUAGAAAGGACAAAUCCAAGGGUCAAUCGUCGGGGAAAAAAGUGGUCAACGGCAAAAGGCCGAAGCGACAAAUAGAUUUUUCGAACGAGUAUCCUCUUCCAUUUAUGCAGAAAACCAACGUCCCCGAUUACGAGGAAAUGAUAGAGGCGCUUACCGGUGAAUAUCCGAACACGGAGAAGAGAUUCAUGGAGGUACCGCCGUUGGAGAUGAACGCCGAUAACGACGAAGUAUUCUACGUCUCACCGCCGGUGAAGAAGCACAUCGGGGCCCUGGCUCGCCAGGGGUGGCUACCUUCGUUCAGAACCGCAAGGUUUUCCCGGUCCCCGCGGUACCUGGUGAACAGGUCAGCCCAGUAGAAGACGCUCGUCCGCGUCCCAACCUCGUAUGUGAUGUCGAUGUGUCUCUCUGUCCCAGUAGAAGUCACCCACGUCUAUUUGUCUACUAUAACCACGUUCCUACUGCAGUAUUGGUCAACUACUUUCGUGGACCACCAUAACGGGAGAAUUCCGCAGAUGGGACCACGGCCGACGACCCCACCAACCCGUCGGCUCGGUCGUUAGGAUUUCGACACCCUUCAAACCGCU